UUGCUUAGACUGGGUUGCGUGGUGGAGACUGGAGAGUGGAGAUGACUGGGCUGAACAAAGAAAAAUGCGUGGGUGUGACCUUAUGAGAUCAAAGUAUUCGCCAUCACAACAUGACAGGUAUGUGGACACUUCAGGCUCUAGCUUGAUCUUAAGGUGCCAUAUUUUGAAGGAAAAGUAAACGCCAGUUAAUACAAAUCAUGUUAAGUUUUUGUUGAUAUUAUACACUGCUGUAAAGUGUUCUUUUGAUCAGACUGUUGGUAGAGGGCAACAACCAUGGGACGGAGGGAGUACUUCUCAUGAGGCUAUAACUCUGUAGCUGAUCUGAUUGCUUUUACUUCUGUAUAUGCACUUCACUAUGUAAUCUCACGAACUUCUGUUAUUUCCUUUCCUGUAUUGGCUACAGCUCGACCCUUGCUGAUCUAGAAAGAAAGCCUUGUACCUAUUGUCGGUCCUGCUCCUGUCUCUCUGUCCGAAGAAAUCUAUUAAUUUUUUCUAUAUGGAUGAACCUUUUUUUUAUUUGCGGGGUUUUGCAGCCUAUAGAAUUAUUUUCGUACGGAUCCAUUUGCACAAUUAGUUUACACUAUUGCUUUGUGCAUUGAGUGCAACCGCUUCGGAAUAUUCCUUUACUUUAGCUUUUCAAUACUGUUGAAUUUUAAAGGGAUUUCAAUUAAAGUGACAUAAUACUAGAAAUAUAUGUGUUUUUCUUUCCGUGCUUUGACUGAGUGCAUCCCUGUAGGCAUAGAAGACUAUCUUGUGGCCUCACUCUGGAAAUCUGUUUCUUUAGACAUGGUUGUGAUUUUUUGUCAUAUCACGGAAAUUCAGAUGCCAUUUAAAACCCUAGCUUGAUAGGAAAGAAGUUACAAAACAUAGUAUGGAUAGUAGUUAAUUCAAACCAGGUUGUGGAUAAAACUAUCGCAACUGAAUUUGCUGUUUUGUUUCAUGAGCUGCGCUCUGAAUCUGGACCUAAAACUUCACAAGAUGAUAAACCCUUGUGAGAACAAGAGAAUAACAAGACGGGAAUGCAUCACCUACUAACUUUGUGUCUAUUCACUGGAGUUAUGCCGCUCAUAAAUUCAGGAAAAUAACAGAUACAGGUCGCCGGAGUCGAGAAUAUAUAAGACACAGAGAAGAUUAGUGUACUUGUGUAGUGUGGAAGCCUCUUGAUGCGGACUAUGUGAAAAUCAAUGUUGAUGCUAGUUUUCAACAAGUUGGCUAUGAGGCUACUACAGGGUGUCUGAUGACGGAUGGAAAUGGAAGACUGAAGACUGCUGCCAAUGUCUUUGCGAUGUGGUGUUCAGAUAGAGGUUGAUGUAAAAAUGACCGAGGUAAUGCUUGAGAGUGAUGCCCGUGUCCCUUUGGACUUAUGGAGCAAUGAUGGUGAUGACAUAUGGGAAGUUGCACAGUCCUGAAGGAAGUUGAGGACCUCAGCAGUAGCAGGUUUACUGGUUUUCAGUUCAGUUUUGUUCAUAGGGCAGCUAAUGUAGCAGCCCAUUUACAUGUGAAAAAGAAUGAUUCUGCUUUUUUUAAGGGAAAGCCUUCAUGUCGCACUUUAUUGCAACUUAAAUACAGAUAGAUCGUUUACAUCCGGAACGAUAAAACUAGGGGGUCAUUGUCCCAAAAUAUAGAAGAGUUCAAAAAAG
rnacentral:lncRNA from 1 species